CGCCUCUUUAAGUCUCUUCAAUGCCAUGUUCAUUUCUCUUUUUUGAUUACCAGGUAGUGCUGUCCUCAGUCUCUUGGGGCAUACUUCUUUCCCGAUCUGGCACAAACUACCCCUCAGGGCUUAAAGACAAGCAGAUGACAGAUGAUCAAGAUUGCAUUCUUACCCAAAUACUCUUCGUGAUUGCCUGCUUUGCGGCUUUGGGGUUCUUCAGGGAGUGGAGAACAUUCACGUGGAUUGACAUCCUAGUUUUCUCAUCAUGUUGA
rnacentral:lncRNA from 1 species